AAAGAAGAAGGUGGUGAAGAGUGUUCUGACUUGUCACGGACAGAACCUUACAUAACACAUUAGAUUUGUGGUUCCAUAUGAUGACGUGCCUCAGUCACGCCUCCACGUGCACAUUAUUCCACUCCCCACUACAUAAAUGUAAUUCUAGAAAAAAAAAGAAAAAAGAAUAAUAAAACUCAAGUUUCAGGACCAUAUACAAUAAGAACGUGUAAAAAAAC
rnacentral:lncRNA from 1 species